AAGAAAAAGUGUGUGGAGCAGGCACGCUUAGGUACAAGCGUGAGUGACAUAGAAAAAGCUUUGCUGUCAAAAUGGGAUGGAAUGAAGUCCCAGUUGAAUAAGCAAGCAGUACGACACCCCGUUCAUCUGAAUGUGUUUCACCACUGUGGUUGAAAUCACUGGACCGAGAGGUGCGUUACUCUUACAAAUUGGAGCUGAGGACAGUGACGACACACGAAAAAGGUAACACUGUGCAAAACCGCACUUAUACAUGUCGCUGUCUAAUAAAAGUGCUGAUCGGAGAUCUCAAAGCUCACAUGGACACAGAAGAACACAUAAAAGCUGUAGAUGAGGACGGUUGACUGAGUUCCUUCAUUCUUAAACCUGGGAAGACAGGAUGGAGAAGAAAACAAAUUUAAGGAAGAAAGACAAAGACGAACGUGACAUUUUUUUCUUUCUUAAAUCAAUAUCCUUGUGAGACUACUGUUUAAUUAUUUACAUAACUACACUGAGAAUAAAGAAAGAUUUUGUUCAAGCUGGAUUUUCUACAGAAGAGUUAAUAUUUAGAACAUUGUGAUAUUAUUUAUUUGUCAAAUAAGAUUUCAAAAGAGAGCGACGAUGAUCUUUUUUUAAUUUUUUUUUUUCCUACCCAGGUCGGCAAGGUCGAUGACUGGUUAGCACGUCCACAUUGCAGUGCAGAGGUCGUUGGUUUAGAGCUGGCUCUGGUCUCCCUGUGUGGAGUUUGCAUGUUCUGUCAGUGCCUGUGAGUUUCUUUACUCUUAGGUAAAAUGGAUUAAUGGAUGGAUGUUGUUCUACUUCACCGCGGCUGACCUGUGAUUCAAAGAAAAACAUUUCUAGAAUCUCGUGACCUCAGACAUAAAUACCUUUGGUUGUGUUAUAUUGUUUCUGUUAUUUUAUGUUAAUUGUUCUGUAAAGCGCUUUGUUACAGCUGCAGCCAUUGUGAAAGCUCCAUAUGAAUAAAUAUGCAUUGUAUU